rnacentral:rRNA from 1 species
CGGGGUGCAGCAGGCGCGAAAACUUUGCAAUAGGCGAAAGCCUGACAGGGCUAUCCCGAGUGCCAUCCGCUGAGGAAGGCUUUUACCCAGUCUAGAACGCUGGGGGAAUAAGGAGAGGGCAAGUCUGGUGUCAGCCGCCGCGGUAAUACCAGCUCUUCGAGUGGUGUGGAUGUUUAUUGGGCCUAAAGCAUCCGUAUCUGGGUAAGUUAGUCCCUUGUUAAAUCCACCGAAUUAAUCGUUGGAUCGCGGGGGAUAAUGCUUGGCUAGGGGACGAGAGAGGCAGACGGUAUUUUCGGGGUAGGGGUGAAAUCCUAUAAUCCCGGGAAGACCACCAGUGGCGAAGGCUGUCUGCUAGAACGCGCCCGACGGUGAGGGAUGAAAGCUGGGGGAGCGAACCGGAUUAGAUACCCGGGUAGUCCCACCUGUAAACGAUGCAAACUAGGUGUUUGGACGGCCACGUGCCGUUAUAGUGCCGCAGGGAAGUUGUUACAGUUUGCCGCCUGGGGAGUACGAUCGCAAGAUUGAAACUUAAAGGAAUCGGCGGGCGAGCAC